rnacentral:rRNA from 1 species
UGCAAGUCGAACGAAGUAGCAAUACUUAGUGGCAGACGGGUGAGUAACAUGUAGGUAUCUUCCCUUUGGUGAGGAAUAACACGAGGAAACUUGUGCUAAUACCUCAUAAGUCUUUACGGAGAAAGCUUUAUGCGCCAAUGGAUGAGCCUGCACUUGAUUAGUUUGUUGGUAGGGUAAUGGCCUACCAAGACAAUGAUCAAUAGCUGAUUUGAGAGGAUGAUCAGCCACAUUGGGACUGAGACACGGCCCAAACUCCUACGGGAGGCAGCAGUAGGGAAUCUUGCACAAUGGGGGGAACCCUGAUGCAGCGAUGCCGCGUGAGUGAAGAAGGCCUUUGGGUUGUAAAGCUCUUUCGUCGGGGAAGAAAAUGACUGUACCCGAAUAAGAAGGUCCGGCUAACUUCGUGCCAGCAGCCGCGGUAAUACGAAGGGACCUAGCGUAGUUCGGAAUUACUGGGCUUAAAGAGUUCGUAGGUGGUUAAAAAAGUUGGUGGUGAAAUCCCAGAGCUUAACUCUGGAACUGCCAUCAAAACUUUUUAGCUAGAGUAUGAUAGAGGAAAGCAGAAUUUCUAGUGUAGAGGUGAAAUUCGUAGAUAUUAGAAAGAAUACCAAUUGCGAAGGCAGCUUUCUGGAUCAUUACUGACACUGAGGAACGAAAGCAUGGGUAGCGAAGAGGAUUAGAUACCCUCGUAGUCCAUGCCGUAAACGAUGUGUGUUAGACGUUGGAAAUUUAUUUUCUGUGUCGCAGCGAAAGCAAUAAACACACCGCCUGGGGAGUACGACCGCAAGGUUAAAACUCAAAUGAAUUGACGGGGACCCGCACAAGUAGUGGAGCAUGUGGUUUAAUUCGAAGAUACGCGCAGAACCUUACCAACACUUGACAUGUUCGUCGCGACUUUAAGAGAUUAA